rnacentral:misc_RNA from 1 species
GUCGCUGCAAGCUUCACACGAGUCAGUGCUCCAGCAAGAGAAGCCUGACCAUACUUCUUAGCAUAUUUACUAUUCUUUAGCUUCUCAGCAGGUAGUAGACUACUUGCAAUAUCUCUAACAGAAUGCAUCAAAAGAGAAACAACUUCUUCUGUCAUAAACAUGACAUUUGGGACAGCUCUAUGGACACGCAAGUAGAGUAAACCAGGGGCAACAGGAGAGAUGCCACCCAAAAAAUGAGAGCCAUAACCAUGACCAAGAAGUGCACCUACACCGCCGUUACUUGCAAUAGAAGAUGUGGUUUGACCUAGUGUAGCUGCAAAGCACAUUCUAAGCAGUUGAACCACAGCAUCCCUAUUGUGGUGGAACACAGUCCGUGAUGCAGAGAAGACAAGAAAGUCACUCCAGCGCUUCACCUUUUGGGCCCAUAGAGCAACCAUGACAGGCAUGCAGGGCCAAGGACAACCUGUAGCCAAAUUACUCAAGGCUGGGCCCAUUAAGUUCAGAAAGCGGUCAGUUGAUCUAUCAAGUUUGUAUGUAAUGGUGAGGCUCACAAGGGCUGCCAGGGGCAAUGGAAGGGUA